rnacentral:lncRNA from 1 species
UUUGUUUUUUUUUUCCUGCUGUAAUGCUGUACUCACCACAUCUCUUUGCAUUCAAAACCAUUAAAUUUUUGUAGGAAUCAUUCUAGAGUAAAUCCACUAUGGCUGAAGGUGAGAUGAUUUAGUACUUCAUUUUAAAUCUACUAGUAUUGAUUUCUUAAUGCUUUUUCUUCCCCAAGGCUACAAAUCAGGAAAAAUGCUGCCAGGGUCUGGCAGCACAUCUGUGUGGUCAGUAUCCUUCAGACCUCAGACAGCAUCCAACACCUCUGGGGAGAGCCCACAGACCCAGCGUGGCUCCUGGGAAUUGGGCAGCUCUGGCACCUUCCACCCAGGCUUUGCAGCCUUCCCUGCAGGUAAGGUGACAACCAACAAAGCAGCAGCUGGUUUGGCUCUGCUUGUCCUGACCCAUAGAUAUCACGGAUUACAUCAACUUGGCUCAACAUUAAAGGGCUGCUGUACCUUGCUGGGGGUGAGGGUGUUUUAUCAGCUUAUUUUUCCUCUUCACUGCAAAAUGAUGUUGCUGCUCAAGCUUUUGAAGUUAUGCACAUCCCAGGUCCUUGCUCGGGUGGGUGACAUUGACCUCCUAGGCAUUCUCUGCUGGUGCGAUCAUGGUUUGAGCUGUGUCUGCAAACUGCUGUGCUCUUAGCAUACCCUGAUCUUCCUCUGGUGUAAUAGCCCAGGGCCCUCACUGAGCUUUGCUCUCGCAAGGGGAGAUGUGACUAAUGCAAGAGAGGAGCAGUGUGCCACAAUACUCAGAGCCAGCCUGAGCUGAUGGGAGUGAAAACUAAGAGGUGAUGUUCUCCUCGCAUCAAAGUGUCCCUGGAGUGCUGAGUGCUCAGCUCCCCCCAUUACCAUUGCACGGUGGCUUGGGGAUGUGCCCUGAGCACUGACCUGCUCCUCUCCCAGCCCCGCUCAUGGGAACCACUUGCUGAUUCAUGUGAGUAGGCAGAAAAGAAAAAGGAUUCUUUAGGAGGUGUUUUUCUAAGGCUUAACCUCUAUCUGUGAGGGAGGAUAUUAAGAGGAAGCAAGUGGGCAGUAGGAUAGCUAACAUCCAAGACCUGUGGUGGUGGAGAAAAAAAACAACAACUAGUGCAAAGACAGAUGAUUAGUGGUAAUGAAAGAUUUGGGAAUGCUGUACUCUCUAUAAGUAUGGGAAAUUGGGAGAGUGUUUUUACAUGUCCAAAAGCUACUCUGUCUCUUUGCAUAGUCUGUGUAGCUGUCCAGAUGGGAGACGAUAAAGGCAAUAGGAUGCGGAUGCUGUAAGUUCAAGAAGUGUUCCCACUAAGAAGGCAAAAUUGCUCACAGCUUAUGCUCUUCAUUGGUGUUGCUUGUUUACCAAGGACCAUUUCCCAGGAGCUGCCCUGGUUACACCACCAUCCACUGCCAUGGGUCAGGAGUUGAGGUAGUAGUUAGGCUGGAGCAGCAGCAGAGCUCAUCCCUAGUUCUGAUUUAAUUCACUGAAGUUUGUGCAAACUUAAGCUAAAAGCUAAACUCAGGAUGGUUUAGGAAAAGCCUAGACUGGAGACAUAAGAUAAAUGUCUUGAGAACAGAAUGAGGUUUAACUAUAGCUGAUGUUCCAACUUUGAAGCAGAUAAAUGACUUUGCAAAAAGAGUGGCACAGCCAAGCCCCUUUUCAAUUACAGAAAGCUAACUCAAUCAGCUCCUAUUCUUUUUAAAUAGAUCUGCUAGAUUAUAUGAAUGUGCAUAAUAUGUAGUCC